rnacentral:rRNA from 1 species
UACGUAGGGCGCAAGCGUUAUCCGGAAUUAUUGGGCGUAAAGGGUGCGUAGGCGGUUUGAUAAGUCACAUGUGAAAUCUUCGGGCUCAACCCGAAGUCUGCAUGCGAAACUGUCGGGCUUGAGUAUGGGAGAGGUGAGUGGAAUUUCCGGUGUAGCGGUGAAAUGCGUAGAUAUCGGAAGGAACACCUGUGGCGAAAGCGGCUCACUGGACCAUAACUGACGCUGAUGCACGAAAGCUAGGGGAGCAAACAGG